rnacentral:rRNA from 1 species
CAGCCGCCACGGUAAUACGGAGGGAGCUAGCGUUGUUCGGAAUUACUGGGCGUAAAGCGCACGUAGGCGGCUUUGUAAGUUAGAGGUGAAAGCCUGGAGCUCAACUCCAGAAUUGCCUUUAAGACUGCAUCGCUUGAAUCCAGGAGAGGUGAGUGGAAUUCCGAGUGUAGAGGUGAAAUUCGUAGAUAUUCGGAAGAACACCAGUGGCGAAGGCGGCUCACUGGACUGGUAUUGACGCUGAGGUGCGAGAGCGUGGGGAGCGAACAGGAUUAGAUACCCGAGUAGUCCCUGUCUCUUAUAC